rnacentral:miRNA from 1 species
GCUGACACAUCCUGGCCAAUCUCCAGCAGACCCUCCCUCCAGACCCUCCCACCUCCUGGUCAGCAUCCAUGUUGAAGGCUGCCUUCAACAUGGAUGCUGGCCAGGAGGUGGGAGGGUCUGGGAGGGAGGGUCUGCUGGAGAUUGGCCGGGAUGUGUCAG